AUUGAACGCUGGCGGCAUGCCUUACACAUGCAAGUCGAACGGCAGCACGGGUGCUUGUACCUGGUGGCGAGUGGCGAACGGGUGAGUAAUACAUCGGAACAUGUCCUGUAGUGGGGGAUAGCCCGGCGAAAGCCGGAUUAAUACCGCAUACGAUCUACGGAUGAAAGCGGGGGACCUUCGGGCCUCGCGCUAUGGGGUUGGCCGAUGGCUGAUUAGCUAGUUGGUGGGGUAAAGGCCUACCAAGGCGACGAUCAGUAGCUGGUCUGAGAGGACGACCAGCCACACUGGGACUGAGACACGGCCCAGACUCCUACGGGAGGCAGCAGUGGGGAAUUUUGGACAAUGGGCGAAAGCCUGAUCCAGCAAUGCCGCGUGUGUGAAGAAGGCCUUCGGGUUGUAAAGCACUUUUGUCCGGAAAGAAAUCCUUGGCCCUAAUACGGUCGGGGGAUGACGGUACCGGAAGAAUAAGCACCGGCUAACUACGUG
rnacentral:rRNA from 1 species